GAUGAACGCUGACAGAAUGCUUAACACAUGCAAGUCAACUUGAACUUCGGUUUGGGUGGCGGACGGGUGAGUAACGCGUAAAGAACUUGCCUCACAGAUAGGGACAACAUUUGGAAACGAAUGCUAAUACCUGAUAUUAUGAUUUUAGGGCAUCCUAGAAUUAUGAAAGCUAUAUGCGCUGUGAGAGAGCUUUGCGUCCCAUUAGCUAGUUGGAGAGGUAACGGCUCACCAAGGCGAUGAUGGGUAGCCGGCCUGAGAGGGUGAUCGGCCACAAGGGGACUGAGACACGGCCCUUACUCCUACGGGAGGCAGCAGUGGGGAAUAUUGGACAAUGGACCAAGAGUCUGAUCCAGCAAUUCUGUGUGCACGAUGAAGUUUUUCGGAAUGUAAAGUGCUUUCAGUUGGGAAGAAAAAAAUGACGGUACCAACAGAAGAAGUGACGGCUAAAUACGUGCCAGCAGCCGCGGUAAUACGUAUGUCACAAGCGUUAUCCGGAUUUAUUGGGCGUAAAGCGCGUCUAGGUGGUUAUAUAAGUCUGAUGUGAAAAUGCAGGGCUCAACUCUGUAUUGCGUUGGAAACUGUGUAACUAGAGUACUGGAGAGGUAAGCGGAACUACAAGUGUAGAGGUGAAAUUCGUAGAUAUUUGUAGGAAUGCCGAUGGGGAAGCCAGCUUACUGGACAGAUACUGACGCUGAGGCGCGAAAGCGUGGGUAGCAAACAGG
rnacentral:rRNA from 1 species